CCAUAUCAUGUUGGAACUGUGGUUCUAGUCUGAUCACCAAAGUUAAGCAAUGUUGAGCCUGGUCAGUACUUAGAUGGGUGACCACUCAGGAAUACCAAUUGCC